AUAUCAAUAAGCGGAGGAAAAGAAACCAACAGGGAUUGCCCCAGUAACGGCGAGUGAAGCGGCAACAGCUCAAAUUUGAAAUCUGGCCCCUCCGGGGUCCGAGUUGUAAUUUGUAGAGGAUGCUUCGGCGUCGGCACCGGGAUAGGUCCCCUGGAACGGGGCGCCGUAGAGGGUGAGAGCCCCGUACUCGCCCGGACCGCCUUCGCCAUGUGAAGCUCCUUCGAAGAGUCGAGUUGUUUGGGAAUGCAGCUCUAAAUGGGAGGUGAAUCUCUUCUAAAGCUAAAUACCGGCCAGAGACCGAUAGCGCACAAGUAGAGUGAUCGAAAGAUGAAAAGCACUUUGGAAAGAGAGUUAAAAAGCACGUGAAAUUGUUGAAAGGGAAGCUCUUGCUGCCAGACUUGCCCCGGUUGCUCAGCCGUCCCACUGGGCGGUGUACUCUUCCGGCGGCAGGCCAGCGUCAGUUCGGGCGGCCGGACAAAGGCUCCGGGAAUGUAGCCCCCCUCGGGGGGUGUUAUAGCCCGGGGUGCAAUGCGGCCAGCCCGGUCUGAGGAACGCGUUCGCGAGGACGCUGGCGUAAUGGCAGCAAGCGACCCGUCUUGAAACACGGACCAAGGAGUCUAACAUCUGUGCGAGUGUUUGGGUGUCAAACCCAUGCGCGCAAUUAAAGUGAACGGAGGUUGGAACCCCCUCGAGGGGCGCACAAUCGACCGAUCCUGAUGUCUUCGGAUGGAUUUGAGUAAGAGCAUAGCUGUUAGGACCCGAAAGAUGGUGAACUAUACCUGGACAGGGCGAAGCCAGAGGAAACUCUGGUGGAGGCUCGCAGCGGUUCUGACGUGCAAAUCGAUCGUCAAAUCUUGGUAUAGGGGCGAAAGACUAAUCGAACCAU
rnacentral:rRNA from 1 species